GACGAACGCUGGCGGCGUGCCUAAUACAUGCAAGUCGAACGCAGUGGGGACGGGUGAGUAACACGUGGGUAACCUCCCAUCCGCGGGGAUAACACUUGGAAACAGGUGCUAAACCGAUACUGAUGGAUGAACCCGCGGUGCAUUAGCUAGUUGGUGAGGUAACGGCUCACCAAGGCCACGAUGCAUAGCGGACCUGAGAGGUUGAUCGGCCACACGGGGACUGAGUCACGGCCCAGACUCCUCCGGGAGGCAGCAGUAGGGAAUCGUCGGCAAUGGACGAAAGUCUGGCCGAGCAACGCCGCGAGAGUGAAGAAGGUUUUCGGAGCGUAAAACUCUGUUGUUAGGGAAGCGGUAUCUAACCAGGAAGCCACGGCUGACGACGUGCCAGCAGCCGCGGUAAUUC
rnacentral:rRNA from 1 species